rnacentral:misc_RNA from 1 species
GAUGAAGAACGUAGCAAAAUGCGAUAAGUAAUGUGAAUUGCAGAAUUCAGUGAAUCAUCGAAUCUUUGAACGCACAUUGCGCCCAUCAGUAUUCUGUUGGGCAUGCCUGUCCGAGCGUCAUUUCAACCCUCAGGGUCCGUUCGCGGGAACUGGUGUUGGGGAUCGGCCUCCCCCCGGAGGCCGGCCCCGAAAUGCAGUGGCGGCUCUACCGCGAUCUCCUCUGUGUAGUAGCGAUACCUCGCAGCUGGAUAGUGGUGGUGCCACGCCGUAAAAUCCCAACUUUACCAAGGUUGACCUCGGAUCAGGUAGGAAUACCCGCUGAACUUAAGCAUAUCAAUAAGCGGAGG